rnacentral:rRNA from 1 species
UACAGAGGGUGCGGGCGUUAAUCGGAAUUACUGGGCGUAAAGCGCGCGUAGGCGGCUUUGCAAGUCGGGUGUGAAAUCCCCAGGCUUAACCUGGGAACUGCAUUCGAGACUGCAUUGCUAGAGUAUGGGAGAGGGAAGUGGAAUUUCAGGUGUAGCGGUGAAAUGCGUAGAUAUCUGAAGGAACAUCAGUGGCGAAAGCGACUUCCUGGACCAAUACUGACGCUCAUGUGCGAAAGCGUGGGGAGCAAACAGG